rnacentral:rRNA from 1 species
AUUGAACGCUGGCGGCAUGCCUAACACAUGCAAGUCGAGCGGAAAAAGGGAGCUUGCUCCUGGAUUCAGGGGCGGACGGGUGUGUAAUGCCUAGGAAUCUGCCUGGUAGUGGGGUAUAAAGUCCGGAAACGGGCGCUAAUACCACACAAGCCCUGAGGGAGAAAGGGGGGGAUCUUCGGACCUCACGCUUUCAGCUGAGCCUAGGUCGGAUUAGCUAGUUGGGGGGGUAAAGGCCUACCAAGGCGACGAUCCGUAACUGGUCUGAGAGGAUGAUCAGCCACACUGGAACUGAGACACGGUCCAGACUCCUACGGGAGGCAGCAGUGGGGAAUAUUGGACAAAGGGCGAAAGCCUGAUCCAGCCAUGCCGCGUGUGUGAAGAAGGUCUUCGGAUUGUAAAGCACUUUUAGUUGGGAGGAAAGGCAGUAAGUUAAUACCUGGCUGUAUUGACGGUACCGACAGAAUAAGCACCGGCUAACUACGUG